rnacentral:lncRNA from 1 species
UGCUUCCUCAAGGAGAGCCAGAAAGGAGACUGCCGGGAGGGGCUUGCCUACUCCCUGAGAGCAGUGGGUUACAGAGCCCAGUACCCGAAAAUUUCCCCUUUUUCUCCCUGCUGAGAUGUAAACUUUCCCAUGUCAAUCAUCUGGGGGUCGCUAUUCUUUUUUAUCAGAGUGCCUCCCCACCUUGGUUGAAAGCUGCCUGCCACUGCCCUGGACCUAUGGCUGCUACAAGCCCACGUUCACAUCUUUAAUCCUUCAUGG